AUUGAACGCUGGCGGCAGGCUUAACACAUGCAAGUCGAGCGGAAACGAUGGUAGCUUGCCACCAGGCGUCGAGCGGCGGACGGGUGAGUAAUACUUAGGAAUCUACCUAGUAGUGGGGGAUAGCUCGGGGAAACUCGAAUUAAUACCGCAUACGACCUACGGGAGAAAGGGGGCAGUUUACUGCUCUCGCUAUUAGAUGAGCCUAAGUCGGAUUAGCUAGAUGGUGGGGUAAAGGCCUACCAUGGCGACGAUCUGUAGCUGGUCUGAGAGGAUGAUCAGCCACACCGGGACUGAGACACGGCCCGGACUCCUACGGGAGGCAGCAGUGGGGAAUAUUGGACAAUGGGGGAAACCCUGAUCCAGCCAUGCCGCGUGUGUGAAGAAGGCCUUUUGGUUGUAAAGCACUUUAAGCAGUGAAGAAGACUCCGUGGUUAAUACCCACGGACGAUGACAUUAGCUGCAGAAUAAGCACCGGCUAACUCUGUGCCAGCAGCCGCGGUAAUACAGAGGGUGCAAGCGUUAAUCGGAAUUACUGGGCGUAAAGGGAGCGUAGGUGGCUCGAUAAGUCAGAUGUGAAAUCCCCGGGCUCAACCUGGGAACUGCAUCUGAUACUGUUGAGCUAGAGUAUGUGAGAGGAAGGUAGAAUUCCAGGUGUAGCGGUGAAAUGCGUAGAGAUCUGGAGGAAUACCGAUGGCGAAGGCAGCCUUCUGGCAUAAUACUGACACUGAGGCUCGAAAGCGUGGGUAGCAAACAGG
rnacentral:rRNA from 1 species